AAAGUCGUAACAAGGUCUUCGUAGGUGAACCUGCGAAGGGAUCAUUAACACGUUCCAAACCUAAUUAUCAACCCAUCUGUGAACCUUGUUACCGCCGAUAUGGCCGACUGUUGAGUGUAUGGUGCAUACGAUCGACUCUAUGAUGAAGCACAGUUUCACGACUGUGCACGGUCUAGUAUGCCUCUAGUGUUGUGCUUUACCGCACAGCAGCUAUCCUUACAGUUGGUCCGGCCCUAUAUAUGCGCUUCGGCAGUCGUCAUCUGCUGUCGAUUCUCAUAUCACACACGCCCUGUGACUCGCUGGCAACAGUGAAUCACACUAUAUCAAUUUAUCCUCAAUUAUUGCUGCGUUGACGUUUAGUCGACGCAUGCUAACAAAUAAACUAACAGUGAACAACUCUUAGCAAUGGAUAUCUUGGUUCUC
rnacentral:misc_RNA from 1 species